GGUUAAGUGUAGCAUAAUGUUAGGCGAAAGAAAAUUAUAAAAUUUGUAAUAAAAGAAACGUUACAGUACAUCAAUGUUAAACCGUUGACGUACGACACGGCGAAAUUUAGUCGUCAGUAGAUAUAAAUUACCAUCCUUAUUGCGGAAUGCUAGUGGAUUAUAAUUGCCCAUACUAUGCUUGCAUUAGAUGCUGAAGCAGGAUUGCUACUUAUGGAAGGUUACAGAAAUCGGUCACUUUGAAAAUACAGAUAACAACUUAACAUUUUUGGAAAGCAUUAUAAAUGUUCCUAAAUAAAUAAAAACUAAAGUAUACAUAUUUUCUUUAAAGAUAUUGAAUGUAUUAUAGUUGAAGUAAAAUAAAAUUCAGAAAAUAAUGUACACAACUCUUGAGCAGUUUCCUCAUUUUGACGCUUCUACUUACUAUAAUUUUAAUUUCCUGCGAUAGCUAAACCAUCUUCUCGCGCAAUGUUCAAUUUGGUAUCCUGUUUCCCAAUGGAGGCUGUACUCGCGUUAUUAUAGAUGCGUAAUAUGGGGGUAAACCACAAGUAUAAUUUACCUUGCUAUUCAAAAAAGUUUAUUUUAUGGUAAAGUAACUAUGAUUCAAUUCUCUUGAAGUCUUGGUUUAUGAUUUUUAUUGCUGCUACUACGAAAUAAUAGGUAGAUAAAAUAUAAAAACAGCUUUGUACCGUUUAGUGGGGUCUUUGUUGCAAUGUCUCAGAAAACUUACCACAGUUUAUGUUUUUUAACACCAUCCGAAAUUAAUGUUUUCAGUGAAGAAAAGCCAAAAUUUAACGUGAAAAUGUUCGAAUGUAUGUUCUUUUCCGAUAUUAAAUCAAAAUAAGGUGAAGAAAUCAAUAUUUCAAUUAAAAUAUAAAUUAUGUUUUUGUUCUUGCACUGGCUCGAUUUUCCCAUCUGUAAUAAAUAAAAAUAUUCAAAUUUCAAUUCAUAGAUAUGAGAGGCGUUACGACCCUUUUUUAAUACUGUCUUUCUUAGAGCUGGUUGUAUAUUGCGUCAUAAUUUGGGAGCAACCAGUUUGAAACUGUGUAAUUUUAACAGCUUCUGAUCACGCCCUAUCCGGCUUAAACUUAAAAUUAUAUUUUGAAUUUAUUAUUGGAAAUUUUAUACAAUAUCUAUGUCAAUAUAAUAAUAAUCAUUAAACAAAAAUUUGUGUAAGCAAAUCAUUGAUAUGUAGCGCAUAAAUUGAUUACAUUGGAUUGAUGAUAUUUUCAUUCAAUUACUCCAUCAAGUUAUCUCUUUCGUUUCUUAAGUUUUACAAGCAGGUAACUUACUUAAUAUUCUGUUAACAAUAUUUUAAGGUACUAAUCGCUUAACAUUAGUAAAUAUUUAUUUAGCUUAAAACCGUUAAAACUAUUCAUAGAAUUAUGGUAAUUACUAACUACAAUAUAUUUGAGCAGUUUGCCUUAGACAGACAGGAAGCACACAAAAUAUAACAUUCAAAAGAAAGCGAGAGAGAAAGAGUUAAUUAAAGAAAAAAAUUGUACAUAUGUACAUACAGAUAUACAGAAUUACCCCGAACACUUAAUGAAAAUAAUUGAUAAUGGUGUGAAUAAUAAAUAUUCACAAACGAAAUAUUAGUAUAUGUAACAAAGUAGUAGUUCAAUGGCACCAGAAUUGAAAUUCAUUAAUUUUAUUAUGUAAUAAUAUUUCUUCAUUCCAUAAGGGAUUCCCUGCUUUAAUUAAACAUACCGUCUGUUAGUUCCAGCCUAUUUAAUGCAGACCUAAAAAGGUGCUAACAACCACUUAUAUAAUUAAUUUUUCCAUGAUUUUAUUUAACUUCUUGGUCUAUUACUCUACCUUUUACAUCAAACGGCUGACAAUAAUUUGUCAAUGGACUCUCUCAAGAAAUGAAAACUAGUUACCUGCUGUCUUCAAUGUGCUUAAUACUUAAGUUCUCAUUUUACGAUCUUCGCUUGUGUCUUUAAUGCUUCAAUUAGUGAACGACUCAAAAGCGUAUACUGUUUCACUUGAUUCAACCUAUCUUAUGAGAGCGUAAUGUAAAUGAACAAUCACCACCACUUCUACCGUCCGUAACGUGGGAUAUCCACGAAAAUUGGAUUUAUCCCGUGGAAACGAGUCAGCUGAUAGCUCUCUUACAGCGCCAGUCUCGAUAUUUUGUAAUAAUUAAAAAUUAAACUUGAAUAUAUUUUAAAUAUAUUAAACCAUCUCAAAAUCACAGGUCGAAUACAAUAAUUUAUAAAUUGGCAGACUAUAUAGUUGAAUUUUAGUUUUGAUCUUUUAUAUUAUGAAAAAUUAUAUCUGAAAAGUUAGAUGUGUGCAAAACUGUAUAUAAAAAUUGAGAAACAGCAACGAAACAAACAACAAAUAUUAAAUUUUCUAUAACGCACUCAAAAAGCAUAAUUACCAAUAAAAAAAAAAUGUUGACUUUGAGUCACAAUAGUAACGAAAUUUAUUUGAAAUUGAUUUUAUUUUAACUUUUACGUAUUUGAGUUGCUUACAAAACAUAAAAAAUCGAUAAUCGAUUAAUAUCUAUGAUGAUCUAUAUAAGUGAAAUGUCAGUAUAUUCAAAAUGGAAAACAAGAAUUCUUAUUAGUUUUGUGACCUGCUUACUAUGAGAUGACAAAUUUUAGACAGUAUUUUCUGACUGCAUCGUAAAUAGUAACUUGUCACAAAUUGCGAUUUUACUUUAAAAUGUCUCAAAUAGGGACUUAGAGACUGCUUCAGUGAGGUGUAUUGUGGGAUAACCUCUUUAAUAUUGAACCCUUUUUAAAAUAACAUUGUCUGCAAUUUUUAACAGACCUCAAUGCAACAAACCUAGUUGAAUAUGAGUAUGGUCAUUUUUGGUCAUAACAAUCUUGCAAUCUUUUCUAAACCGACGACGUGGCAUUUCGGGAGCUAUCAAUAGUUAAACUAGAAGCACGCAAACUCAGGGAUGCCAAAGAUAAAUUACUCCGGUACAAUGGUUUUGGUGAUGAAUUUGUGGUCAAUAGCAAAGCGGUGCUGUCAACAUUUGGCGCAGCACUGGUCAAGCCGUUACAGAUGAUCGUCUUUUCAUUGGAAUUAUAUACAACUCUACCGUUCGCUGCGCAAAGUGGCGGCAUAAUAUCACCCGUAUCGAUUGUCAGUAAACCGUCAGCAGCAGUAUCAUUGAUAUUUAAGCUGUUGGUGGGUCCACUGCCUCCACCAGGACCACAACUGCUUUCAUUACCACAAAGAUGAAGUCGAGAGCUCAAUAGUUUAUUACAUGCUGGACAAGCACGAGAGGCGCCCUUCUCUCGCCGUCGCAAAAGAUCAUGAGCGCAGCUAUAUUUAUAUAAAGGAAAGUAACUAAAAUAAAUAUAUAUAUUUCGCAAGAGUGAUAGAAUAUAAAAUUGCACUUUCCACAGGUAAUCAAUACAGUUUUUAUACCGAACGAACACUAAUCGGAACAAACAUGUAAUAUGUUAAUAAGUGCUUUGUAAUAACAUGCCCGCCUCUUUAAAGGAGUCAAGCCAUCCGCAAUAAAUAGAGGAAAUACAAAUAAAACAUUUAAGCAGAUUUGUGAUAGGGUCAAGGCGCUUUGCCGAUAACUGAUAUCCAACUACAGAAGUUUUUAAUCUGGCGUUACAAAGCACUGUAUAUAAUAGCCAUCUAACCUAACCUCACCUCUGACCAUCAGGAUGACGAUACGAGUUUAAAUCAGUGUGACUGUUUGUCCGACGCGAUAACUUGAGUAAAAAUUAAGAUAUCUGGAAACUUGCUACAACUAUUCAUUGGCAUCCGAGGAACGUCGGUAUUGCAUGUGGUACGUAAUCGGACCACUGUUGCGCCCACAAAAAGCCAUUAAACGAAAAAUUAUUAAGUGCCAUAACUAAGCACUUAAUUAAGAUACAUAACUGUUAUUUGGUACAGGGAUCGAAAUAGUUUAAUGUACACAUCUUCCAAACCAGGAACUCCAAACUUGUUGAAAAUACAAGUAAGUUGUUUUAGAACCUCUUUGUAUGUUGUGAAAAUGGGUGAAAUCAGAAAAUAUCACUCCCCAUAUAAUGGUUAUGUUGAAAAUUAAUAAAAGUGCGACAACAGAGCGUAUAAACGCGCCACAAUCAUUAAAUUUCACAACCACAAUGCAGGGGAAGAGCUUUAUAAGAGCAGGUGUAAAAAUUCGACAAUGAGCGUGGCACCGCUCACCUUUACGUAAAUCCUAUAUCCCAGGGACUAUAUUUGGUGUGUGAAAUUGCCCAUUUCUUUCACACACUGUGAAAUUAGGCGAAAUCGGAUGACAACCACGCCUAACCUAACAACCUUCUGAACUCAAUCUUAUUCUUUCACUUUUCAGUAUAAAUAUGUAUCAGACAUCAAUAAAGUUAUCAGAGUAAAACUUUGCACAAAUUGUACUGUCAAGGUGUUUAAUCUUAUGUCUAAAUAUCGGGCUAUAACACAGACACCAAAUAAGUGGACCCAAUGUAUAUGACUGAUUUUUUACCGAACUUAGCGGUCAGUCUGUGAGUUCUAGUAUUGAAAUUCGAGGAGAAUAUUUGUGUGAUGACAGCAUACCCUUGUGCCAAAAAUGGGUACAAUCGAGUAAAUACUUCCCUUAGCACAUACCUAAUAUAAAUAUUUCGAACUUCCGGUUUAUUUUAUACCGCAACUAUCGGUCAAGAAAUCUCUAUGAAAUUCAGAAAUAAUCUCUUUCUAAUAACAGUUUAUCUUCUCGCCGGUGAUUGUAAAUAAUGGAGGCAAUACUUCCUACUUUUAAUUAAAACAUAUUCUAAAAUUCCAUGCAAGAGUAUAAAAUUUUCGGUUACACCCGAUACCCUUCCUUACUUGUUUUUUAUUAUAAUUUGUAUGCAGUGUCUACUCAUAUAUGAUCAGCUCAGUGUUUUUCGCUUAUUAACAAUAGUGUGCAAAAAAUAUGAUUCCUUGGGUUGAACGUAGUCACCAUUCCGCUGUAGUAAUGACGUUGCACCUCUUCACUUUAGUGAAAAAGGUGUUAAAACUGGGACAAAAAUGUACCAACAGGAUCCAAUAUUAUCUUCGAUGGAGAGCAUUAUCCAACAGAAUAUAUGGCAGGACUAGGUUGUAUACUUUUUACCGCAGCAAAAUAAGAAAAUUAUAUUAAAAUCUAGUUAAAUCUGAUUGCUUUGUGUUACCACGCAGCUGCUGCCACAUUCAUGGUUGUAAUCAAAGUUAUUAUC